rnacentral:tRNA from 1 species
GUAGGAGUGUCAGAAGUUUAUGAACUAAUUUUAAGCGUUAGCUAUGGGAUUUAUCCCCUCCUAUU